rnacentral:rRNA from 1 species
GACGAACGCUGGCGGCGUGCUUAACACAUGCAAGUCGAACGGAAAGGCCCUGCUUUUGUGGGGUGCUCGAGUGGCGAACGGGUGAGUAACACGUGAGUAACCUGCCCUUGACUUUGGGAUAACUUCAGGAAACUGGGGCUAAUACCGGAUAGGAGCUCCUGCUGCAUGGUGGGGGUUGGAAAGUUUCGGCGGUUGGGGAUGGACUCGCGGCUUAUCAGCUUGUUGGUGGGGUAGUGGCUUACCAAGGCUUUGACGGGUAGCCGGCCCGAGAGGGUGACCGGCCACAUGGGGCUGAGGUACGGGCCCGGAUGCUACCGGGGGGCGGCGUGGGGAAUUUUGCCCCAUGGGGGGGAGGCUGAAGCAGCAACGCCGCGUGCGGGAUGACGGCCUUCGGGUUGUAAACCGCUUUCGCCUGUGACGAAGCGUGAGUGACGGUAAUGGGUAAAGAAGCACCGGCUAACUACGUG